UACGGAGGGUGCAAGCGUUAUCCGGAUUUACUGGGUUUAAAGGGUGUGUAGGCGGACUUGUAAGUCAGUGGUGAAAUCCCGGGGCUCAACCCCGGAACUGCCUUUGAUACUAUAAGUCUUGAAUGUUGUGGAGGUGGGCGGAACGGGUCAUGUAGCGGUGAAAUGCAUAGAUAUGACCCGGAACACCGAUUGCGAAGGCAGCCCGCUACGCAACUAUUGACGCUGAGGCACGAAAGCGUGGGGAUCAA
rnacentral:rRNA from 1 species